rnacentral:ncRNA from 2 species
AAAUAAUAAAACAUCUAGGGUACCAAGCGGUUUAAAAGGGAACUCCGGUGAAAGUCCGGGGCUGCCCAGCAACCGUAACCGGGGACGAAAUCCACAAAAUGCCACUGGGAAUUUUUCCUGGGAAGGCGUGGAGAGUAGGUUGAUCCGGGAGCCGGGAGACCUGCCUUAGAUGUAUGGACUCC